GAUGAACGCUAGCUACAGGCUUAACACAUGCAAGUCGAGGGACCGGCGCGCGGGUGAGUAACACGUAUCCAACCUGCCCUUUACUGGGGGAUAGCCUUUCGAAAGAAAGAUUAAUACCCGAUGUAAAGGAUGGGGAUGCGUUCCAUUAGGUGGUUGGUGAGGUAACGGCUCACCAAGCCUUCGAUGGAUAGGGGUUCUGAGAGGAAGCCCCACCACAUUGGAACUGAGACACGGUCCACACUCCUACGGGAGGCAGCAGUUAGGAAUAUUGUUCAAUGGGCGUUAGCCUGAACCAGCCAAGUAGCGUGAAGGAUGAAGGCUUAUGGGUCGUAAACUUCUUUUAUAUAAGAAUAUGUAUUAUAUGAAUAAGGAUCGGCUAACUCCGUGCCAGCAGCCGCGGUAAUUC
rnacentral:rRNA from 1 species